rnacentral:lncRNA from 1 species
AGGGAGGGAGGUCUCUGGGGGCAUGCCUUUGGGGUGUAUAUUUGUCCCAGGUAAGUGGAAUUCUCUCUGCAUCCUGGUACCAUGUUCCCAGCUGCUUUCCUCUGCCAUACACUUCUGCCAAGACGUCCUGCCUCACCUCAUGUCCCUAGGAAUGGAGACAGCUGUUAAUGGACUGAGACCUCUGAAACCAUGAGCCCCAAAAUCAACUUUUCCUCUUCUAAUUGUUCUUGUCAGGUCUUUUGGUCACAGCAGGAAAAAAAUGACUAAAACACACAGGUUGUCUAUAUUACACAGGGGCAAGAUCAAGAGUCAGGGUCUUCUGCUGAGGCAAACUGUACCUUAGUAAGUGUUGGUACUUCUGGAAAGGCAAAACUCAACUAUGUCCUAUCUAAACUCACAUUGGGGCUCCUCAAUCGACCUGUAUUCAUCCAGAACCUAGACAUAAAUGAUCAUUAUACUUAAUGCUAAUUUUUACUGUUGUUACAUAUAAUAAUUUAUUAUUACUAAUACAAAAAGAAAAUUUAAGACAAAUCACCUAU